AUGGGAGAGAGAGGGAGGGGGAAGGAGAGAGAGAGAUUGAAAAAUCAAUCCCCCAGCCACAGGCAGCCCAGCUGGUGGGCACCAGAUGGGAAAGCGAUGAUCUACAGAUCAGGGCCUGUUAACAAGGCUGAUGGCAACCCAAGGAAACCACCUGCAGCCGGCUUUGCAGAAAAUCAGCACCCAAGGAUGGGGCUUCCAGUAAUCCAUCGCAGGAACCACCGAGCCAUGAACUUGUUAAACGGUAGCCGCUGGAGGCCGGCUCAGCUCACGCUCAGCUGCAAACGGGGCGAAUCUCUGCCACUGGAAGACCAGAUGGCGCCAGUGUUGGUGGUGGUCUCACGGUCCCAACACGCACCUUGGCAGAUGCUGGGGUUGGCAGCUCCCGGGUCAGCUGAACUAACAUUGCCGGCAUCUUCUGAGCGUUUGAGAGGUGCAUCUGUUCGCUCUAACAAAAUGCAAUUAUUAGUGAACACGAGCUCUAUGAUGUUGUGUUGGCCUCUGCCACACAUCAACAUGAAUCUGUCACAGCGCUACCUGGAUCUCAUCUCCUUUCCUUGCUGCCUUCACUUCCCCUUGAGGACUAAGGACUGAAGAUCCCCUGAAACUCUGCUGUAGCCAGAGCUGCUUCAGGGACACAGCCUUGAGACAAUAGGUAUUGUUGAGACCAUCUGGAUGACAUAUAUGACUAAAUCCACUGAAUGCCUCUGUAUAAACUUUGAAGAUUUGGCCAAUGGGGAUGGAGAUCCACUCAUCUCUCAGUGGCCCAGGACAAGCCUAAUAAGUGGAUUCUCUACUGCUGAGCUACCAGAGAAGCUUCAAAGUACAUGACACAAGCAGAAAUGAGAGCUUCCGCAGGACUUUGGGUGGAACUCUUGGGAAAAAGACAAUCUCUUUCUACUGAGAGGCUAAUGCAGGCUAGAGUCAGCAUGGGAAGACCUGCCGGAGGAUGCAGCCAGCCUGGAGGAGAGCCAAGAGGCAGGGGAAUGAGGAGAGGGGCUCGUCCCUGCACAGUGCUUGGAGUACUUGGAUCCAGUUGUGC
ensembl:lncRNA